UACGGGGGGAGCAAGCGUUGUUCGGAUUUACUGGGCGUAAAGGGCGCGUAGGCGGCCACGACAAGUCAGUUGUGAAAUCUCUGGGCUUAACUCAGAACGGUCAACUGAUACUGUCGGGCUAGAGUGCAGAAGGGGCAACUGGAAUUCUCGGUGUAGCGGAAAUGCGUAGAUAUCGUCAAGAACACCUAUAGCGAAGGCAGCUUACUAGGCUGUAACUGACGCUGAGGCACGAAAGUGUGGGGAUCAAACAGG
rnacentral:rRNA from 1 species